AUUAAUUACAGGACAAUCUCCGGAAACCGACUUCCACAAACGUACUUCUUCAUGCCAACUCAGCUCAUCCAUCUAAACUCAUCCGCAGCAUACCCAUUGGGCAAUUUUUAUGUGCCAGAAGGAUCUGUUCUUCCAUGGAAUCCUUUUAAGUACAGGUCUUACCACAAGAGAAUUUAAACAGCGAAUUCGUGAACACGUCUUAGGUAUAACAGCUGCAAGAGAACAAGAUGACAUCUCCUCGCUGACCACCAUACCAUGUCAUUUUAAGCUACACCACUCCAGUGAUCCUUCCAGCCUGCAGUUCCGAGUGUCUAUUGCCGCUGCUUUUUUAUCAGCCCGUUCUUGUCGCAUUACUAAUGAUAUCCAUCUUCCUUAAAAGGCUGCAUCUAUCCAUCUAUACCUCCUUGCCGGUGUCCACCUUUCAUCCCAUAUUGUCCUCAUGGGUGCCAGACCAUUUUUUAUUUUACUUCUGAUAUGUCAUAUUGUCUUUUAACCUGGUUUUACCAUUAUAACCUAGCACUUAUACUGCUGUAAUGAAAUUUCUUUGAUCAGGAUUGGUUCUUGAUGUCUAUUCAAUGGUUUUAGUCCAUUUUGAUACUUUGCACUUGUCACUUUAACAUGGGCAUUUCAAUAUAAUUACAUUUGGGGUUACUUCCCGGGUCUUUUUCAGUAUGCACCCCAUUGAGGGGGGCACAAAUGUGCACAUUACUGCUAUUCACCCCACUAAUACAACAUGCAUUUGUAUUAGCCACUAAUAGUGGCUCUUCAUUCAUCCAUUGCCCAAUCACUUUUUAGCACACUUAUAAGCCUCUCAUAUGUCUGAGUUAUUUAUACUAUUCAGUCCAUUAUUAGCAAAUGUCCACCUUACUUAUUCCGUUUG